CCGGUAAACUGAAUUAAGCAUUGAAGCUCCCCAAAAGAAAAAAAAGUUGCGUCAAAUGGCUAUUAGGAAAAGCCUCUCAUGCCAAAUUCAAGAUUUAAAGCCUCCAAAUAGAAAAAGGAAUAUUAAAUUACAUGUAAACUGAAAGCAAAAUUUUUCAACAAUGACAAUACGAGCAUUAAUAUCACCAAAUUCCAAGUGGGCAAUCAACAACAUCAAUUCAUCUGAGAUAGCUCAAAAAUCCCAUUUAACCAGAGUUUUAUUGUUCUUCUAAAUUUCCCCCGUUCUUGCUAUACAAACACACACAAAAACAAUAACAUAUCAAAGCCAAGCAACUAAU
rnacentral:misc_RNA from 1 species